rnacentral:misc_RNA from 1 species
UACGGAGGUGGCAAGCGUUGCUCGGAAUCACUGGGCUUAAAGGGCGCGUAGGCGGCCGGAUAAGUCGGGUGUGAAAUCCCUCGGCUCAACCGAGGAACUGCACCCGAUACUGUUCGGCUUGAGUGUGGGAGGGGAGAGUGGAACUCCAGGUGUAGCGGUGAAAUGCGUAGAUAUCUGGAGGAACGCCGGUGGCGAAAGCGACUCUCUGGCCCGCAACUGACGCUGAGGCGCGAAAGCCAGGGUAGCGAACGGG